rnacentral:rRNA from 1 species
GAUGAACGCUGGCGGCGUGCCUAAUACAUGCAAGUCGAGCGAACGGACGAGAAGCUUGCUUCUCUGAUGUUAGCGGCGGACGGGUGAGUAACACGUGGAUAACCUACCUAUAAGACUGGGAUAACUUCGGGAAACCGGAGCUAAUACCGGAUAAUAUUUUGAACCGCAUGGUUCAAAAGUGAAAGACGGUCUUGCUGUCACUUAUAGAUGGAUCCGCGCUGCAUUAGCUAGUUGGUAAGGUAACGGCUUACCAAGGCAACGAUGCAUAGCCGACCUGAGAGGGUGAUCGGCCACACUGGAACGGAGACACGGUCCAGACUCCUACGGGAGGCAGCAGUAGGGAAUCUUCCGCAAGGGGCGAAAGCCUGACGGAGCAACGCCGCGUGAGUGAUGAAGGUCUUCGGAUCGUAAAACUCUGUUAUUAGGGAAGAACAUAUGUGUAAGUAACUGUGCACAUCUUGACGGUACCUAAUCAGAAAGCCACGGCUAACUACGUG